GACGAACGCUGGCGGCGUGCUUAACACAUGCAAGUCGAACGAUGAACCCGGAGCUUGCUCCGGCGGAUUAGUGGCGAACGGGUGAGUAACACGUGAGUAACCUGCCCUUGACUCUGGGAUAACUGCGGGAAACUGUAGCUAAUACCGGAUACGACCCUCGGCGGCAUCGCCAGGGGGUGGAAAGAAUUUCGGGCAAGGAUGGACUCGCGGCCUAUCAGCUAGUUGGUGAGGCAACGGCGCACCAAGGCGACGACGGGUAGCCGGCCUGAGAGGGAGACCGGCCACACUGGGACUGAGACGCGGCCCAGACUCCCACGGGAGGCAGCAGUGGGGAAUAUUGCACAAUGGGCGCAAGCCUGAUGCAUCAACGCCGCGUGAGGGAUGACGGCCUUCGGGUUGUAAACCUCUUUUAGCAGGGAAGAAGCGAAAGUGACGGUACCUGCAGAAAAAGCACCGGCUAACUACGUGCCAGCAGCCGCCGCAG
rnacentral:rRNA from 1 species